AUGAUGAAGCGGCUGCGAGGGGAGAGCACACUCCCAUGGGUAUGCAUCGAAGAUUUUAACGAGGUAUCGCGCACGGAGGAACACAUGGGUCCCAAUACCCGUGACAGCGGACAAAUAGCAGGAUUCAGGGAGGCGGUUGAUGUGUGCGAGCUUGCCGACCUGGGUUAUAAAGGACUGGACUGGACGUGGGGAAAAAAGAGUUAG
rnacentral:rRNA from 1 species